rnacentral:rRNA from 1 species
UACGAAGGGGGCGAGCGUUGUUCGGAUUUACUGGGCGUAAAGGGCGCGUAGGCGGCCCUCUUUGUCGCGUGUGAAAGCCCCGGGCUCAACCUGGGAAUGGCGCGCGAAACGGGGGGGCUUGAGUUCGGGAGAGGAGCGUGGAAUUCCCAGUGUAGAGGUGAAAUUCGUAGAUAUUGGGAAGAACACCGGUGGCGAAGGCGGCGCUCUGGACCGAGACUGACGCUGAGGCGCGAAAGCCAGGGGAGCAAACGGG